rnacentral:misc_RNA from 1 species
UCAAACUUGGUCAUUUAGAGGAAGUAAAAGUCGUAACAAGGUUUCCGUAGGUGAACCUGCGGAAGGAUCAUUACCGUAAACCGCGUGUCUGGGGGGGCCGGCCCGUCCCGCCCUCCCGCAUGCAACCCACCCUUGACUUUGAGCACCUUUCCGUUUCCUCGGCAGGCCCGCCUGCCAACGGGGACCCCAACCGAACCCUUUCUUGCAGUGGCAGUACCGGUAUGAGAAAACAAACGAAAUGAAAAUCACAACUUUCAACAAUGGAUCUCUUGGUUCUGGCAUCGAUGAAGAACGCAGC